rnacentral:rRNA from 1 species
GAUGAACGCUGGCGGCGUGCCUAAUACAUGCAAGUCGAGCGAACAGACGAGGAGCUUGCUCCUCUGACGUUAGCGGCGGACGGGUGAGUAACACGUGGAUAACCUACCUAUAAGACUGGGAUAACUUCGGGAAACCGGAGCUAAUACCGGAUAAUAUAUUGAACCGCAUGGUUCAAUAGUGAAAGACGGUUUUGCUGUCACUUAUAGAUGGAUCCGCGCCGCAUUAGCUAGUUGGUAAGGUAACGGCAUACCAAGGCAACGAUGCGUAGCCGACCUGAGAGAGUGAUCGGCCACACUGGAACUGAGACACGGUCCAGACUCCUACGGGAGGCAGCAGUAGGGAAUCUUCCGCAAUGGGCGAAAGCCUGACGGAGCAACGCCGCGUGAGUGAUGAAGGUCUUCGGAUCGUAAAACUCUGUUAUUAGGGAAGAACAAAUGUGUAAGUAACUAUGCACGUCUUGACGGUACCUAAUCAGAAAGCCACGGCUAACUACGUG